AGUGAACGCUGGCGGUAGGCCUAACACAUGCAAGUCGAACGGCAGCACAGUAAGAGCUUGCUCUUACGGGUGGCGAGUGGCGGACGGGUGAGGAAUACAUCGGAAUCUACUUUUUCGUGGGGGAUAACGUAGGGAAACUUACGCUAAUACCGCAUACGACCUACGGGUGAAAGCAGGGGAUCUUCGGACCUUGCGCGAUUGAAUGAGCCGAUGUCGGAUUAGCUAGUUGGCGGGGUAAAGGCCCACCAAGGCGACGAUCCGUAGCUGGUCUGAGAGGAUGAUCAGCCACCCUGGAACUGAGACACGGUCCAGACUCCUACGGGAGGCAGCAGUGGGGAAUAUUGGACAAUGGGCGCAAGCCUGAUCCAGCCAUACCGCGUGGGUGAAGAAGGCCUUCGGGUUGUAAAGCCCUUCUGUUGGGAAAGAAAAGCAGCAGGUUAAUACCCCGCUGUUCUGACGGUACCCAAAGAAUAAGCACCGGCUAACUUCGUG
rnacentral:rRNA from 1 species